UACGAGAGCCUCAAGCGUUAUCCGGAAUUAUUGGGCGAAAGGGUGUGUAGGCGGUAAUGUUAGUCUCAUGUCAAAGCCUGUCGCCAAACGACAGAUCCGCAUGGGAAACGGCAUAACUAGGAGGGUGCGAGAGGUGAAUGGAACUCACGGUGUAGGGGUGAAAUCCGUUGAUAUCGUGGGGAACGCCAAAAGCGAAGGCAAUUCACUGGCGCAUACCUGACGCUGAAAACACGAAGCC
rnacentral:rRNA from 1 species